GUAGGUGGCAAGCGUUGUCCGGAAUUAUUGGGCGUAGAGCGCGCGCAGGCGGUUCUUUAAGUCUGAUGUGAAAGCCCACGGCUCAACCGUGGAGGGUCAUUGGAAACUGGAGAACUUGAGUACAGAAGAGGAAAGCGGAAUUCCACGUGUAGCGGUGAAAUGCGUAGAGAUGUGGAGGAACACCAGUGGCGAAGGCGGCUUUCUGGUCUGUAACUGACGCUGAGGCGCGAAAGCGUGGGGGGAGCAAACAGGAUUAGAUACCCUGGUAGUCCACGCCGUAAACAAUAAGUACUAAGUGUUAAAGGGUUUCCGCCCCCUUAGUGCUGCAGCUAACGCAUUAAGCACUCCGCCUGGGGAUACGGCCGCAAGGCUG
rnacentral:rRNA from 1 species